UUUUAUAAUAAAGCGCCAGGGCUGUGUUUGGUGAAAAGCACAGUUGACGAGGUGGAGGUUCAUCGAGCGUUCGGCGGAUGCCUCCCGGUUGUCACACUUCAACCGCAGGUUCAAAUGUAAACCAAAGAGGCGACUCUUUGUCCAAAUCAUUUGAAUAAAGUGACC
rnacentral:ncRNA from 2 species